UGGCAAACACCCCGAAAUCCCGAUUUUCUAAACAUAUCCCCCAUUUUAUGACAACAAACCCCCAUUUCCAACCGGAAUGAAAUCCCGCGUCAUUUCUGAACUGGCCAAUCAGAAAUCGGAACAAUAGUCAGCCAUGGUUGUUUACCUGUGUCGCAUGGUUUGGGGUGGUGUAAUUUACCUGGUCUGCCUGUGUCGGGGUGCUUAUCGGACAGUGCGAAGCAUGUUUUGAUAGUAAUUAAUCGGGAAGACGGAUUUCAAAUUGACAUAUCCUUUUCACAAACGUGAAUCACAACGAUGAUAGUGUCAUCACCAAACAAUCGGACAUUACCGAUUUUUGCCUCUCGCGGACAGCAUCCAAUAUGCAAUAAGAUGUCAUGGGUGCAAAGGUUUUGUUCGCAAACUUCAUAGCAGGGCAGAUCACUCCUUUUCUGGUUGCAAUGCAGAUUGUUCCACCAUACUCUGCAAACCCAUGUUUACAGACAAGCAAGAUCGCCUUGUAGUCAUACCUAAAUGCAUGUGCUUUAAUUCAAAUUUUAAUAUAUAGACCAGCCAAUGUUUAUAUGGUGUAAAAGGAUGCAACUUUAAGUAUUAUAUGAUAAUAUGUAUGUGACUUGUUGUUGGAGAGGAUUUUUUGCUGAAUAGAUGAUUUUAAUAAAAUAUUUAUGUAUAUCUUUCAAAGUGUUUUUUUCUUUAAAAUAAUUUUGUUAAAGUUGUUUUUUUUUCAGAUCGAGUUUACAGAUUUUCAUUUUGUUAGUUUUUAAAUCAAUCAUUAAAAUUCACAGACAUAGAUAACAAUGAC